rnacentral:rRNA from 1 species
CAGUUCGGAUUGUAGUCUGCAACCCGACUACAUGAAGCCGGAAUCGCUAGUAAUCGCGGAUCAGAAUGCCGCGGUGAAUACGUUCCCGGGUCUUGUACACACCGCCCGUCACACCAUGGGAGUUGGAAAUGCCCGAAGUCAGUGGCCCAACCGGAAGGGGGGAGCUGCCGAAGGCAGGUUCGAUGACUGGGGUGAAGUCGUAACAAGGUAGC